UACGUAGGGUGCAAGCGUUAAUCGGAAUUACUGGGCGUAAAGCGUGCGCAGGCGGUUGUGCAAGACAGAGGUGAAAUCCCCGGGCUAACCUGGGAAUGGCCUUUGUGACUGCACGGCUAGAGUGUGUCAGAGGGGGGUAGAAUUCCACGUGUAGCAGUGAAAUGCGUAGAGAUGUGGAGGAAUACCGAUGGCGAAGGCAGCCCCCUGGGAUAACACUGACGCUCAUGCACGAAAGCGUGGGGAGCAAACAGG
rnacentral:rRNA from 1 species